rnacentral:rRNA from 1 species
CCUACGGGCGGCAGCAGUGGGGAAUAUUGCACAAUGGGGGGAACCCUGAUGCAGCGACGCCGCGUGAGUGAAGAAGUAUUUCGGUAUGUAAAGCUCUAUCAGCAGGGAAGAAAAUGACGGUACCUGACUAAGAAGCCCCGGCUAACUACGUGCCAGCAGCCGCGGUAAUACGUAGGGGGCAAGCGUUAUCCGGAUUUACUGGGUGUAAAGGGAGCGCAGACGGCUGUGCAAGUCUGGAGUGAAAGGCGGGGGCCCAACCCCCGGACUGCUCUGGAAACUGUAAAGCUGGAGUGCAGGAGAGGUAAGCGGAAUUCCAGGUGUAGGAGUGAAAUCCGUAGAUAUCUGGAGGAACAUCAGUGGCGAAGGCGACUAUCUGGCACAUAACUGACGCUGAGGAGCGAAAGCGUGGGUAGCAAACAGGAUUAGAUACCCCUGUAGUC